GAGCUACUCCCUCCGUUCCGAAUUACUUGUCUUAGAUUUGUCUAGAUACGGAUGUAUCUAGAAUGCUAGAUACAUCCGUAUCUAGACAAAUCUAAGACAAGUAAUUCGGAACGGAGGGAGUAGGAA
rfam:Triticum aestivum genome assembly, contig: Triticum_aestivum_CS42_TGACv1_scaffold_146144_2BS